rnacentral:lncRNA from 1 species
AUGCAAUAAACGUAAAUAACCUCUAAAGCAUAGAUAAUAGUAAAAUAAUUAGGAAAUGAGGAUUUUUUUAAGUAUUUUUUUUUCUUUUUAGAAAAACAGCUUUAUUGAAGUCUAAACUACACAUAUUUCACAGGUACAAGUUUUGGUACAUGUUUAUAGCCAUGAAAUUAAAGGUUUUCUUGGGCUCUUUGUAAUCUCUUCCUCCUUAUCCACCUACCCGUCUUUAGGAAACCACUGAUCUGCUUUCUGUCACUCUACAUUUGUUUACAUAU